ACGGGGUGCAGCAGGCGAGAAAACUUUGCAAUGUGCGAAAGCACGACAAGGUUAAUCCGAGUGAUUUCUGCUAAAGGAAUCUUUUGUCAGUCCUAGAAACACUGUUGAAUAAGGGGUGGGCAAGUUCUGGUGUCAGCCGCCGCGGUAAAACCAGCACCUCAAGUGGUCAGGAUGAUUAUUGGGCCUAAAGCAUCCGUAGCCUGCUUUGUCAGUUUUCGGUUAAAUCCAUACGCUCAACGUAUGGGCUGCCGGAAAUACUGCAAAGCUAGGGAGUGGGAGAGGUAGACGGUACUCGGGAGGAAGGGGUAAAAUCCUUUGAUCUCUCGAUGACCACCUGUGGCGAAGGCGGUCUACCAGAACACGUCCGACGGUGAGGGAUGAAAGCUGGGGGAGCAAACCGGAUUAGAUACCCGGGUAGUCCCAGCUGUAAACUAUGCAAACUCAGUGAUGCAUUGGCUUGAUGCCAAUGCAGUGUUGCAGGGAAGCCGUUAAGUUUGCCGCCUGGGAAGUACGUACGCAAGUAUGAAACUUAAAGGAAUUGGCGGGGGAGCAC
rnacentral:rRNA from 1 species